GACCGCUCCGGUGGCCUAAGUGGUUAGAGCGUCCGCCUCUGAUGCCUGAGUUCGCGGUUCGAACCCCGGCCGUGUCA